rnacentral:rRNA from 1 species
UUCGGGAGCACCGGCGGACGGCUCAGUAACACGUGGACAACCUACCCUCGGGUGGGGGAUAACCUCGGGAAACUGAGGCUAAUACCCCAUAGGUCUCGGGUACUGGAAGGUCCUGAGACCGAAAGCUCCGGCGCCCGAGGAUGGGUCUGCGGCCUAUCAGGUAGUUGGUGGUGUAAAGGACCACCAAGCCUACGACGGGUACGGGCCCUGAGAGGGGGAGCCCGGAGAUGGACUCUGAGACACGAGUCCAGGCCCUACGGGGCGCAGCAGGCGCUAAACCUUCGCAAUGCGCGAAAGCGCGACGAGGGGAGCCCGAGUGCCCUUCCUUCGGGGAGGGCUUUUCCGGAGUCUAAAAAGCUCCGGGAAUAAGGGCUGGGCAAGACGGGUGCCAGCCGCCGCGGUAAUACCCGCAGCUCAAGUGGUGGCCACUAUUAUUGAGCCUAAAGCGUCCGUAGCCGGACCCGUAAAUCCCUGGGUAAAUCCUGGCGCUCAACGUCAGGAAUUCCGGGGAGACUGCGGGUCUUGGGACCGGGAGAGGCCGGAGGUACUCCCGGGGUAGGGGUGAAAUCCUGUAAUCCCGGGGGGACCACCUG